GGAGUUGUGGCUCAGUGGUAGAGUGCUUGCCUAGCAUGUAUGAGGCACUGGGUUCAAUUCUCAGCACCA
rnacentral:tRNA from 1 species